rnacentral:rRNA from 1 species
AUUCCAGCUCUUAAAGUGUAUAUUAAAGUUGUUGCAGUUAAAAGCUCGUAGUCUAUCAUCUAGUGUUUUACGACAUGGAGCAAUUCAUGACGCUAAAGCGCUAUCUGUUCGAGAACUUCUUCUACCUUAACUGGUCGAAGAUGCUGAUCGGACAUUUUCCUGAGAAAAAUUAGAGUGUUUAAAGCAGGCUAUUGCAAUGAAUAUUACAGCUUGGAAUAAUAGAAUAAGACUAGAGUCUCUUUUGUUGGUUAUGAACUUUAGUAAUGGUUAAUAUAAACAGUCGGGGUAUUAGUAUUUAAGUGUCAGAGGUGAAAUUCUAUGAUUACUUAAAGACUAACUUAUGCGAAAGCAUUUACCAAGGAUGUUUUUCAUUUGAUCAAGAACGAAAGUUAGGGGAUCAAAGACGAUCAGAUACCGUCCUAGUCUUAACUAUAAACGAUUCCGACCAAGGAUCGGGAGGGUCAGCUAAGCCUUCUCGGCACUUUAUGAGAAAUCAAAGUCUUUAGGUUCCGGGGGGAGUA